AAACCAGCACCUCAAGUGGUCAGGAUGAUUAUUGGGCCUAAAGCAUCCGUAGCCUGCUCUGUAAGUUUUCGGUUAAAUCUGUACGCUCAACGUACAGGCUGCCGGGAAUACUGCAGAGCUAGGGAGUGGGAGAGGUAGACGGUACUCGGGAGGAAGUGGUAAAAUGCUUUGAUCUCUCGAUGACCACCUGUGGCGGAGGCGGUCUACCAGAACACGUCCGACGGUGAGGGAUGAAAGCUGGGGGAGCAAACCGGAUUAGAAACCCCGGUAGUCC
rnacentral:rRNA from 1 species